rnacentral:rRNA from 1 species
CUGGUUGAUCCUUGCCAGUAGUCAUAUGCUUCUUUCAAAGAUUAAGCCAUGCAUGUCUAAGUAUAAACAACUUUAUACUGUGAAACUGCGUACAGCUCAUUAUAUCAGCAAUAAUUUAUUUGAUGGUAACUUACUACAUGGAUAACCGUGGUAAUUCUAGAGCUAAUACAUGCAUAAAGUCCCAAUACUUUUGUAGAGGGAUGUAUUUAUUAGAUAAAAGGCCAAUGCAGUUUUCGGACUGGUUUUGUGUUGAUUCAUAGUAACUGAUCGAAUCGCAAGCUUCACGCUGGCGAUAGUUCAUUCAAAUUUCUGCCCUAUCAGCUUUCGACGGUAGUGUAGUGGACUACCGUGGCGUUAACGGGUGACGGAGAAUUAGGGUUCGAUUCCGGAGAGGGAGCCUGAGAAACGGCUACCACAUCCAAGGAAGGCAGCAGGCGCGC